UACGUAGGGAGCAAGCGUUGUCCGGAAUCAUUGGGCGUAAAGAGCGCGUAGGCGGCCCUGUAAGUCCGUUGUGAAAGUCAAAGGCUCAACCUUUGAAAGCCGAUGGAUACUGCAGGGCUAGAGUCCGGAAGAGGCGAGUGGAAUUCCUGGUGUAGCGGUGGAAUGCGCAGAUAUCAGGAGGAACACCAAUAGCGAAGGCAGCUCGCUGGGACGGUACUGACGCUAAGGCGCGAAAGCGUGGGGAGCGAACAGG
rnacentral:rRNA from 1 species